CAGCCGGCUCUGGGGAGGCGGGGUGUGAGUGAGAUCUCGCUCGUGUGGCGCCUGGGACGACGAGGCUCCGCUCCCGAGCCCACCGGCGGGACACCCGGGAGGCACGUAGCCCAGCUCCUCCAGGGGCCGCGCCGGCUCCGCCCCAGCGGAACUGCCCGCCCGGCAGCGGCGGCACCGCGCCGUCCAUCCGGGGCCGUGGCGGGAACUACAGCUCCCAGAGAGCCGCGGGGCGACGGCGGCAGCUCGGGUCGGGUCGGGCCGGGGCCGCGGCGGGAGCGGGCCGUGGGCGGCGGGACGCAGUAUGGAGAGCCCUGCGGUGACCUUCACGUUGGCCUACCUGGUGUUCGCCGUCUGCUUCGUCUUCCCACCCGACGAAGUGCGCUCGGCGGGGCUGACGGUGCAGAGCCUGCUGUCCGCCUGGCUGGGCAGCGAGGACGCGGCCUUCGUGCAGUACCACCUGCGGCGCAGCACCGGCACGCUGCUGGCACACUCGCUCCUGCCCCUGGGUUAUUACCUUGGUAUGUGCAUUGCUGCACCUGAAAAACAUCUCAGUUUUUUCUACCUGGCUUCAAAAGGAUGGAAAACUUUCUUCUUCUUUGCUGUUCUCUUCCCAGCAGUCACCAGUGCUCUGGCAUAUUACUGGUCACGGAAAGGUUGGAAUAAUCAUCCGUUAGCCCGAACACUCGCUGUUCACGCUCUCCCACAGUCGGGCUGGAGAGCAGUAGCUUCUUCCAUCAAUAUAGAAUUUAGGAGAAUUGACAAAUUUGCUACAGGAGCUCCAGGAGCAAGGGUGAUUGUUACAGACACAUGGGUGAUUAAAGUGACCACCUACUGUUUACAUGUUGCCCAACAGCAGGACAUUCAUUUGACCGUGACAGACUCCAGACAGCAUGAACUCACCCCAGACUCAAAUAUGCCUGUGCAGUUCCUCACCAUCCGUGUUGCCAGUAUCAAUCCCUACGUGAAGGCAUUUGAUAUCCGGCUGAACUCCACAGAGUAUGGGGAGCUCCGAGAAAAGCUCCGUGCUCCCAUCAGCAAUGCAGCUAAUGUUGUGAUCCAUCAAAGCCUUAGUGAUUUGUUUCUAGAAACCUUUACAUCUCUGGUGGAAAGUAACCAGACAUAUUCUGUUCCAAGCACUCAGAGAAGCCCUCAUUUCACAAGUUAAAGCUGAUACAGCUUCUGAAAGAAGCAAUCCUGCUUCCUGCACACUCCUUGUCCCCAAGUUGACACAAGAGUUCGUCUGCAAUGAACCUGUUUGGGAGAAAUGAUUGAGGUGAAAAGAGGAAAAGAUGACUGGUUUUCAUCUGGGUCUGCUCCACAAUCAAGCUGUCACUGUGGCUGAACGGACACUUGACCUGACCAGGGAAAAGACACUGGAGGAGCUGGAGCCAUGCAUAGGGUGUAUGCAGACCAUCGCUAACAUCAAGCUCAUCAAGAACUGCCAGGAGCCAAAUGAAGGGGAAUGCC